UACGUAGGGCGCAAGCGUUGUCCGGAAUUAUUGGGCGUAAAGAGCUCGUAGGCGGUCUGUUACGUCUGCUGUGAAAACCCAGGGCUUAACCCUGGGCUUGCAGUGGAUACGGGCAGACUAGAGGCAGGUAGGGGAGAAUGGAAUUCCCGGUUUAGCGGUGAAAUGCGCAGAUAUCGGGAGGAACACCGGUGGCGAAGGCGGUUCUCUGGGCCCUACCUGACGCUGAGACGCGAAAGCGUGGGGAGCGAACAGG
rnacentral:rRNA from 1 species